ensembl:lncRNA
CACCUGUGGCAUAUGGAGGUUCCCAGGCUAGGGGGCAAAUUGGAGCUACAGCUGCCGGCCUAUACCACACCCACAGCAACUCGGGAUCUGAGCUGCUCUGUGACCUAUACCACAGCUCAUGGCAACACUGGAUCCUUAACCCUCUGAGCAAGGCCAGAGAUCAAACCCACAACCUCAUGGUUCCUAGUCAGAUUAGUUAACCACUGAGCCACAACAGGAACUCCUGAUGUUACUUUCCAUCCUAUUUUCCCUUUCCUGGAAAGGUGGACAUCCAUUCAUUUUCUUUUACUCCACACUAGAAGCGUAUUGACUUAAAACACACACUUUUAUUAUCUCCUGUUUCUGUAAGCCAGGAAUCUAGGCUUAGCUGGGAUCCACCUCCAACCUCAUUCAGGUUGCUGGCAGAAUUCAUUUCCUUUUGGUUAUAGGACGGAGGGCCCCAGUUCUUUGCUGAGUAUUGGCUGGAAGACACUCUCUGGUCUUAGAGGCCACCCACAGCAUGUCGCUUCUUCAAGGCCAGCAGGGGACUGAGUCAUUUAGAGUCUUAUAUGUGUAUCACAGUGGAAUCAGUGAAGUGACAUUCAUUGCUUUUGCCGUAUUUUGUUGGACAGAAGCACGUCAUGGGUCUCACCCACACCAUGUGGGAGAGGAUCAGACCCUGAGUGAAUACCAGAAGGCAGAGAUUACUAGGGUGUCGUCAUAGAGUCUAUCGGCCACACUGGAGAGCUAGACCUUUUUUUUUUUUUUUUGGUCUUUUUGCCUUUGCUAGGGCCACUCCCACGGCUUAUGGAGGUUCCCAGGCUAGGGGUCUAAUCAGAGCCGUAGUCACCGGCCAACACCAGAGCCACAGCAAUGCAGGAUCCGAGCCGCGUCUGCAACCUACACCACAGCUCAUGGUAACGCUGAAUCCCCAACCCACUGAGCAAGGCCAGGGAUCGAACCCGAAACCUCAUGGUUCCUAGUCGGAUUCGUUAACCACUGAGCCACUAUGGGAACUCUGAGAGCUAGACCAUUAACACCUUCAUGAAGCUCACUUUUUGGCUGCACCUGAGGCAUGCUGAAGCUCCAAGGCCAGGGAUGGAACUUGAGCCACAGUAGCAAUGCUGGGUCCCUAACUGCUAGGCCACCAGGGAACUCCUGAUGUUUAUUUUUUUAAAAAAAUGUAUUUAACACUUACUCCAUGUCAAAUACUGUACCCGAUGUUGGGACCACAAAGUAUCCAAGAAAUGAUCUCUGCCUCAGGUAGCUCGCAAUCUAUUGCAGAAGAUAGAUCCUUUAAAUGUAAUGCAGAAGAUGCUAGGAUACAACCAGGUAUGGGGUGUUUGGGUGCCCAGGCCAGUCAGGGACGGCUUCCAGAGGAGAAACACGCAUGUGGAGUGUGAAAGUAUAGAUAGAAAGCAGCCAGGUAACUGAGGGUAGGGUUGGUCUUGCCGAAGUGGAGGCGGUUAUACCCACUCCACGAAACUGGUUAAGGAUUAUAUAAGCUGACACCUGUAAACGCACAGCCCAGAGCAGGUGGCCAUUCCUAUGGGCUUCCUCCUCUUUCUAAUUUCCGUUUGUUCAAGUCAUAGGCUGACUUCCCUCAAGGGCAGGGGCCAUGGUCUCCUAUCUUUAUGUCACAGCCCUUAGCACGGAGCUGAACACAGUAUGUGCCACUGAGGGACAGUUUAAUUGAGUGAACAAACAAAUGAACUGUCAAGAGGCGGACCGAGAAAGCCAUGCUGUGGUGUUUUGCAGCAAGUUCCCCUAGAUGGUCGCCGCCACGCCUCACCUCACCUUGACCCAGAAACAGGGUGUCUGCGCUGGUCCUGACAUCCAUGUGUGGCCAGUGGCUGAGCACGCACCUGAAUGCCACACCAGUUUGGGGACCUGGGCCCUGUUCCAUAAUCUCUCUAAGCCUCACUCUUCUCAUCUGUUCAGUGAGAGAAAUUCACCUUUCUCAAAAGAGCUAAGGGAUGGAUGAGGUCAUGUUUAUUGAAAAUGUUGAGUACGCUGCUUGGCUCCUGGUAAACCCUCACACCACCUUUGCUAAGAAAUCACGUGUGUGAAGAGGUCCAUGGCAAUGCUGUGUGGCAACAGUGUCUCUGCCUGGUCGGAUGUACUUUGCUCUGACCCCCAAACGCUGUGAGUCAGAGCUUCUUCUGCAGUUCUAGGCUGAAACUAUUGCAGAAGGACUAAAAAUCAUCCAUGUUUAAGUAUUUUUAGCUGAUUCUAGUGGCUCGGAGAGGAAGGAGGUGGAAACGGGAGGAGGAAAAAAAGAUUCUUCUUUGUGACCUGAAAUGACUCCUCAUUUACAUCUGUUUCUCCCAGAUCCUUUUUGGGGUAGGGGGGUUCCCUCUCUCUGUGCUCAAUUCCACUUGGCAGUCAGCGCGGUUGAGACUAACCUCAGGGACGCAGUCGUACCUUGGAGCUCUGGACAGGAAGAGAAAGCGGGUCAGAGUUCUGGUCAGCCCGCUGCUGUGCGCUGCUGUGUGAGCUGCUGUGUGAGCGCUGCUGUGUGAGCGGAACGAGCAUUUGAGCCUCCCUGUGGCCUCCUCCUCUUCUGUGAAGUGAAACUAACAAGGAUGCUCUGGCUGCCUCUCGGGGCUGUUGGGAGGAUCCAGGAGUAGUGAUAUAAAAGUCUUGAGAAGAGCGCUGUUUUGUGUUCAUCAGUGAGCCCCAUCUCUCCCUCUCCCCAGGCAAGGACUGCCUCCUUGAGGGCAGGCCCUUGGGGCUUCCUGGGUCUUCCUGCAGAAGCUUUCCUGCCUCCUGCACACCCCAGAGCAUCUCUGCAUCCUCUGCCAGCCUAACCGGCCUCCCUGUGGCUCUGUAUUAACCUCCCGCCCUCCACGUUGCCCACAGGGACACAGUCUUUUUUGUUCAGGGGACACUUUUGCCCUCAAGCCAGCUGGACUUUCCUCUGUAGGGAUGCAGAGACUCUGCACAACAGACACUGCCCCUCCAGGGGUGCCUGAUGUCCAUGGUUUUCUAUAGUACUUGUAACCUAGAUACAGAAUCUUCUAGCCUGACAGAGUCAGAGACCAAUGCCUUAAUGUGAACCCACCACACAGCUGGCGAGAGCACAGACCCACAGUCCCUCCUCAGGUGCCUCUUAGGAGGACUGCGUAUGAAAGCCCGCAGAAAUGGUCAAGUCCCGGAGAGGAAAUGGCCACCAAAAUAUAAAUCAUGGCCAUUUUUAUUGAGCACCAGGCAGGCAACCAGGCCAUGGGUUAUGAUAACUUUUGUGAUUUCCUUUGAUCUGAUUCCGGGAUCCCUGGGUCCCCAGCUUGCUGUGUGUCCUUGGGCGAAACAGAGGCAGCUUCUGAUCCUCUUGUUUCCCAGAGAAUGAUAAUGAUUUGGCAUGUAGAGUCGAUUCAACUUUUGACACGUUCCCUCUGUUCCCCUAGUAGUUCAUGUAGUUCAGAGGGUGUCACUCCGAGGCGUGGGGAAUAGAGGCCCCCAGGGAGCGCUAGUUACAGGGUCCCAGAGGGAAAAGGGGACCCUGGCCAGCCUCUCCCUGGUGCCUGAUGACUGUAGACACCCACUCAGGGCUGCCCUCCUCCUUUUGGUCUCCUUCAGGGAGCAGCAGCUGUGUCCUUCCCCUGCUCGGGCCGCUCAGUGACUCCCAGCUUCCUUCCUGCUGGAAUCUAAGCUCCCCAGCCCACCUCCCCGCAGUCUGGGCUGUGUCUCCCUCGGUGAAACCUCUCCAGUAGACCUUCUCUCCGUGACAGCCGUACAUCCUUGGCUGGCUUUCCCUCUGCACCUUUUCUUGUGUCAUCACCUUCUCCGGGAUGCUUUUCUGUCUCCCCCAGUCUCCCCUAUGCUUCGAGACCUUCCCAGCUGGUUCUAGAUUGCGUUAGCAGGGAGGGGAGGGCAUCCGGGUCUUUUGAGGCCCAGUUCUGAAAUAUUCCUAUUGGCCUGAAACUGACAGACAUUCAUUCUGGGAAGAUUGCAAAGAGGGUUCAAUAAUAUAGUCAGGCAUCUGUGCAGAUGUUCCUUUUCAGUUCCUAGUGUAUGCCAGGCACUGUGUGGAGCUCUUCAUUAGCUUAUACAGACAUUAACCAUCAUUCUCUCCUGUAAGGUAGGUAUUGUUAUCCUCAUUGACGAGACCGGGAAAAUGAACCUUAGGAUAAUUAACUUGUCUGCAGUUCCGUGAUUACUAAGAUCUCGGCUCCUGAGAAUGUGCCCCGUUUACGCAGCAAACACUCCCUGGUGCCUCCAGACAAAAACUCACUGAUCUGAGGGGGAGGAAAGGCCUUGUCUGGAUCCCAGGGAGACUCAGAACAGAGGCAAGGAGAAGUGUGUUCUCUUAUAUCCACCACCCGUGGUCUAACAGCUGGUUUCCCAAUUGCAAACGGCUGCCCCCCCACCGCAGAGGCCAGAGCCCCAGCCCCUUCCUAGCAAGAAUAAACCAAGGCCUCCCCACACGGGCCAUAGGGCUCCGCCGCGUAAAACCAUCGGGGAACCUAAGCAGCGUUUCCCCUGCCGACCACCCCCUGAGGAGCACUGCCUAAUAGGCUCUUUACGGGUUGGAAAAUAGAGUCCUGUUGAUGCAAGAGGAAGAAGGACAUCACCACGUCACCACAGGUUGAAAUCCUCCCCCUGGAAGGCCUUGGUAAGCCCCCAAAUAGCUCAGCAAUUUUUUUUUUUUUUCUACUCUGAUUAGCUUGAUGGAAAAGCCCCUAGCUUUUUCUUCCCAUUGGUCGGCUUAUGGGGGUAGUGAUCCUGCCUCCCCCCAGCAAGCCUGCUGGCCUAUCGAUUGUUAGAUGUACGGCUCUCAAACUCUCCAACAGGCCACGGCUGCUGAGAGCACAGGCCAUUAGCCCCAGCCAACUGAAAGGGUUCACCGCCAGGAGACUGAUUCUGAAAUUGGGUCUUUAUGAUCAAUAUAUCUUUCUCCAUUAGGCUCAUUUCCUCCCAAGGAAAUGCGUAGGGCCAUUAGGGUGUAUGUGCAUUGACAGGCCUCUCCACUGUCCUCCUUCAUAGCGAGGAAGACAGAGCCGGCACAGACUUGAGAGAUGCGCUUGUUAGACAGAACUGCCCAGACUCCUUUCUNUUUUUUUUUUUUUUUUUUUUUUUUUUUUUUUUUUUUUUUUUGUCUUUGUAGGGCCGCAUCAACGGCACAUGGAGGUUCCCAGGCUAGGGGGUCUAAUCGGAGCUGUAGCCUCUGGCCUAUACCACACAGCCACAAUAACGCCAGACCCAAGCCACAUCUGUGACCUACACCACAGCUCACAGCAAUGCCAGAUCCUUAACCCACUGAUAGAGGCCAGGGCUCAAACCCACAACCUCACAACAAUUCCUAGUCAGAUUUGUUUCCGCUGAGUCACGAUGGGAAUUCCCUGAAUCCUCUUUUCUUAAGGCCUGUAAGAACAGGAAAGAUAUCCUUCAAAGGUACAACCUUGAAGGAAGUACAUCCUUGUCUGGUCAUAAGAAGGAAUGGGCGGAAUACUCUCAGGAUCUCUGCAGCCACGGAAUCACUGUUUAUCAAUUAGAAUUGCCUCUGAGGACCUCAAAACACUUUGUAAAUGUCCUGUCUUUCUUUCUCAACUUUCUUGUGAGUGCAUUCAUCACCUCCUCAUUGGCGAUUAAAAAAAAAAAAAAAAAAAAAAA